GAGUCCCUUGGAUCCCAUGACCAGCCCAGGAUCCGGGCUAAUUCUCCAAGCAAAUUUUGUCCACAGUCAACGACGGGAGUCCUUCCUGUAUCGAUCCGACAGCGAUUAUGACCUCUCUCCAAAGUCUAUGUCCCGGAACUCCUCCAUUGCCAGUGAUAUACACGGAGAUGACUUGAUUGUGACUCCAUUUGCUCAGGUCUUGGCCAGUCUGCGAACUGUACGAAACAACUUUGCUGCAUUAACUAAUUUGCAAGAUCGAGCACCUAGCAAAAGAUCACCCAUGUGCAACCAACCAUCCAUCAACAAAGCCACCAUAACAGGAGCGGUGAAACUAGUACAGCUGCCUGCUCUUUACCUGUAGGGGGAGACACAUGAUGCAGUGACAAGCAUAGAACAGCACAGAAGUGGUUUUAGUCCAGAAAAUAAAUAAAUAAGUAAAUUGG
rnacentral:ncRNA from 2 species